AAAUAUUUAACGAGUGAUUUAACGACAACAAUACAUUAUUUGGUCAUGUAAAUACGAGAAUUUAUCGAUUUGUACGACGUGAAGGAUAUAACAAUGAGCGAGGAGACAGCAAAAAAAAAACGAGAAGGAGGUUGAAAUAGACAAGGAAAUCGAAAAACUAAAGUACUAUCUCGAGCCAAUUGACGAUAUUAUUGAAGAAGGCGAUUACGCAGAGAUCGAAGUUGUAAAGAAACGAACAGACGCCACAUUUGACAAGGUAAAUAAUCUUGUUGCAAGUGUACAAGAGCUUAAAAUUGAUCGAGGAGCUGAAACUCAGAGAGCAAUACGACAAUGGAAAAAGGACACGAAGGAUAAGUACGAGCAAUGGGUGCCUAAAAUGAACAAGCUUUCGCGAAUUCAGUCUUGAAAAAAGGCAGAGGGAAAUUGACGACGAAGCAGAGCGACGACCUAAGGGCCGGUCAUAAAGUAUUUACUAGGGGGUGUGGACGAUAUUUUUGG